rnacentral:rRNA from 1 species
GUCCUACGGGGGGCAGCGGUGGGGAAUAUUGCACAAUGGGGGGAACCCUGAUGCAGCGACGCCGCGUGGGUGAAGGAGUAUUUCGGUAUGUAAAGCUCUAUCAGCAGGGAAGAAAGAAAUGACGGUACCUGACUAAGAAGCCCCGGCUAACUACGUGCCAGCAGCCGCGGUAAUACGUAGGGGGCAAGCGUUAUCCGGAUUUACUGGGUGUAAAGGGAGCGUAGACGGCAGUGCAAGUCUGAAGUGAAAGGCGGGGGCCCACCACCCGGACUGCUUUGGAAACUGUGCUGCUGGAGAG